GACGAACGCUGGCGGCGUGCUUAACACAUGCAAGUCGAACGGAAAGGCCCUGCUUUUGUGGGGUGCUCGAGUGGCGAACGGGUGAGUAACACGUGAGUAACCUGCCCUUGACUUUGGGAUAACUUCAGGAAACUGGGGCUAAUACCGGAUAGGAGCUCCUGCUGCAUGGUGGGGGUUGGAAAGUUUCGGCGGUUGGGGAUGGACUCGCGGCUUAUCAGCUUGUUGGUGGGGUAGUGGCUUACCAAGGCUUUGACGGGUAGCCGGCCUGAGAGGGUGACCGGCCACAUUGGGACUGAGAUACGGCCCAGACUCCUACGGGAGGCAGCAGUGGGGAAUAUUGCACAAUGGGCGGAAGCCUGAUGCAGCGACGCCGCGUGCGGGAUGACGGCCUUCGGGUUGUAAACCGCUUUCGCCUGUGACGAAGCGUGAGUGACGGUAAUGGGUAAAGAAGCACCGGCUAACUACGUGCCAGCAGCCGCGGUGAUACGUAGGGUGCGAGCGUUGUCCGGAUUUAUUGGGCGUAAAGGGCUCGUAGGUGGUUGAUCGCGUCGGAAGUGUAAUCUUGGGGCUUAACCCUGAGCGUGCUUUCGAUACGGGUUGACUUGAGGAAGGUAGGGGAGAAUGGAAUUCCUGGUGGAGCGGUGGAAUGCGCAGAUAUCAGGAGGAACACCAGUGGCGAAGGCGGUUCUCUGGGCCUUUCCUGACGCUGAGGAGCGAAAGCGUGGGGAGCGAACAGGCUUAGAUACCCUGGUAGUCCACGCUGUAAACGGUGGGUACUAGGUGUGGGGUCCAUUCCACGGGUUCCGUGCCGUAGCUAACGCUUUAAGUACCCCGCCUGGGGAGUACGGCCGCAAGGCUAAAACUCAAAGGAAUUGACGGGGCCCCGCACAAGCGGCGGAGCAUGCGGAUUAAUUCGAUGCAACGCGUAGAACCUUACCUGGGUUUGACAUGGAUCGGGAGCGCUCAGAGAUGGGUGUGCCUCUUUUGGGGUCGGUUCACAGGUGGUGCAUGGCUGUCGUCAGCUCGUGUCGUGAGAUGUUGGGUUAAGUCCCGCAACGAGCGCAACCCUUGUUCACUGUUGCCAGCACGUUAUGGUGGGGACUCAGUGGAGACCGCCGGGGUCAACUCGGAGGAAGGUGGGGAUGACGUCAAGUCAUCAUGCCCCUUAUGUCCAGGGCUUCACGCAUGCUACAAUGGCUGGUACAGAGAGUGGCGAGCCUGUGAGGGUGAGCGAAUCUCGGAAAGCCGGCCUCAGUUCGGAUUGGGGUCUGCAACUCGACCUCAUGAAGUCGGAGUCGCUAGUAAUCGCAGAUCAGCAACGCUGCGGUGAACACGUUCCCGGGGCU
rnacentral:rRNA from 1 species